rnacentral:rRNA from 1 species
AGUGAACGCUGGCGGUAGGCCUAACACAUGCAAGUCGAACGGCAGCACAGUAAGAGCUUGCUCUUACGGGUGGCGAGUGGCGGACGGGUGAGGAAUACAUCGGAAUCUACUUUUUCGUGGGGGAUAACGUAGGGAAACUUACGCUAAUACAGCAUACGACCUACGGGUGAAAGCAGGGGAUCUUCGGACCUUGCGCGAUUGAAUGAGCCGAUGUCGGAUUAGCUAGUUGGCGGGGUAAAGGCCCACCAAGGCGACGAUCCGUAGCUGGUCUGAGAGGAUGAUCAGCCACACUGGAACUGAGACACGGUCCAGACUCCUACGGGAGGCAGCAGUGGGGAAUAUUGGACAAUGGGCGCAGGCCUGAUCCAGCCAUACCGCGUGGGUGAAGAAGGCCUUCGGGUUGUAAAGCCCUUUUGUUGGGAAAGAAAAGCAGCAGGUUAAUACCCCGCUGUUCUGACGGUACCCAAAGAAUAAGCACCGGCUAACUUCGUG